UUUUAAACAAAAACAAAAUGUUUUUAUUUUACUAACGAUGAACUGUUUUGUAAAGUUUGUUUUCACUGGAAUUUUUUUUAAAAAAAAAUUUCAAACUUGGGGAAAAUUUCUAUAUUAUUUGGUUGAUAAUGAAAACUUAAUGUGUAAUUUGUGAAAAGUAUUAGGAGUUACAUCCGGUCAGUGAUAGUUAGAGAUUGUAUAUUUCUAACAUCCGGUUAGCGAUUGUAUAUUUCUUUUGUCUUGGCACUUAUGAGCAUUUAGUUCUUCUUAAUCAAUCUCCUAAUGAAGCAAUUUUUCCUCUUGUUUUGUGCGUAGAUUCUUUCUUACUUGCUUUUAUGUUUUUGUUUCCUUUGAUCCUUUUGCUUGUUUUAACUUUCUUCUUGUAUUUGUUUCUUUUAUUGGCUAAGAGACAAAUAUGCUAGUGGAAAGGCGAAUGAUGUUAAUAAUGCAAAGAAGAUCAAAGCUUAUAUGGACAAAGUCUACACGGAGAGAAAUCUGCUAGUGGAAAAGCGAAUGAUGUUAAUAAUAUAAAGAGGAUCAAAGCUUAUAUGGACAAGGUUGAGCUAUAGAGCAUUCAAACAUAUGUGUUGAUAAGUCUGUGUUGGAUGAGAGAUGGUUGAGCUAUAGAGCAUUCAAACAUAUGUGUUGAUAAGUCUGUGUUGGAUGAGAGAUGGUUGAGCUAUAGAGCAUUCAAACAUAUGUGUUGAUAAGUCUGUGUUGGAUGAGCAUCUCUCAUCCCCUCUGCUUCCGAGACCAUCAACCAUCUUCUUCAGCAAGAUGAAAGGUAACACUAUUACCGCUAUCUUGCAUAAGAAGCCACUGAACACAGUCUUUGAAAGCCUAUGAGAUUGUCACUACUGCUGCUGAGGCUAAACUUCCUCCUACACAUCCUGUCAGAUUGGGGUUGGCCUUGAACUUCUCUGUCCUCUACUACGAGAUUAUGAGCUCACCUUAAAGGUUUUUAGAGAUUGUUUAGUUA